CCUUUAGGCUAAAGCCCCCCGAGGAUGAGCGAGAUUCUGGCAGUCAUGGGAAACAGUGGUUUUGGGAAGAUCACCUUUGCUAUGAAGAUUACUUGGAGUCUUGCGUUGGGGGAAAUUCUUGCUUACGAUAAUUUAAGGAGGUGAUGGACGAAGGAGAUAAAUUGGUGCUUUAUGUGUGGGAGGAAUGGGGAAACAAUGACUCAUUUGAUACCACUUGUCGAGAGGUUGUGCAGCCUCAGAAUUACUCUGGACUUUGUUUUUGGAUACCCGGUGCCAAAAAAUAAACAUAAAUAUUAUUAGAAUAGUUGGAAGAUGUUAGUCUCAAACCUCCUGAUUUAGCAACUUCGAUAGUUUUUUUUUUUUUUUUUUGGCAAUUCUAUAUGGAUGGUUUUAUGCACACCACUGACCUUUCUUGGUUUCCUUAAGAUGAAACAUGUUGUAUUUGAAGAUCUUUCAGAGGU